ensembl:lncRNA
UCUGGCCGCAGGCAGAACCCCGCUGGCGUCCAGUACAGCCGCAUCAAGGCCUGUGCAGCCUCUGAGGAGCCCACCUGCCCGGACCUGGAGCCCACCCCUAGCCUGCCACUGCUGCGACCCGGAGCACGAGAUCCACGGGGUCCCCAGAGAGUCGCCCCUGCCCCACUGGAGCUACUUCGGCUGGGGUGACGGGAAGAAAGUCUGAGAACCCCAGACUCUUCCCUUUGGUCUCAGGCUCUGAGGGUUCCUGAGGACCUAGCUUCCUGCCUCAGUUUCCCGGUGCUCUUUGCACAGCACUGCAGUGUUUGGAAUGGGAACAUCCCAGGGAGCCAUUGGUUCCACGAAGACCCUGGCAGGAGCCCUCUCCUGGCAUCACCCCGACAACACGUCCGCUGCGGCCUGGCUGGGACACUUUGGCCCAGGGCGUCUGCUGCGGCCUGGCUGGGACACUUUGGCCCAGGGCAGCCUGCAGCUCUGCUGGGGCUCCCCCAGGGGGCGCCCUGCCCUCAGGUCCGCCAUGGGGCUUAUUUGCUGUCUCGGCCAUGAUUUGGUGGCGGAUUGGGAGUUCCCCUGCACAAGGCUGAGCUGCCAGGAGCUGCAAAGGGAAGCGGGAAGCCGGUGGGUUGCAGAUGGGGGCAUAGGGAGUGGAGGCCCCCGGACGACAGGAAGAAGACAGAGCACAGCACCUGCAGCCCGGAGACCCGGGGCUAAGUUCCACUCUGCAUUCAGGUUUGUCACUGAACCGGGGGCUUCAGCCCACUGAGCCAGUCUCCUUCUAUGAGCAGGAGAGCAGAGGGAGCCCCACCUCAGCGGGCUGCGGGGAGGAUUGGCUGAGGUUCUGGAAGGCUGGGAUUGGCCGUGCGCCCACGCACCUCGCCAGAGGGCCGUCCCCAGCCCCCGCUGUGUCCCAGGGCCAGACUCAGCUUCCGUAUUUGUUUAUUCCACCGUCAGCUCAAAUAAGCGUUCAUCUGUGGCGUGGGGGAGGACGGAGUUUCGGUGAGACACAGGAUUUUCACAGAGCCGCCCUCUGAAAGUCUUCACCAUUUGGGGAGUGAACCAACAGAAGGAAGACCUUUCUCUCUGUCUCUCUCUCUCUCUCACUGCCUAACUUUGCCUGUCAAAAAAAAUUAAGCUUAAAUUUUUUUAAGAUUUAUUUUAUUUAUUUGAAAGAGUUACAGAGAGAGAUAGAGACAGAGAGAGAAGUCUUCCAUCCACUGGUUCACUCCCCAGAUGCCCGCAACGGCCAGAGCUGCGCUGAUCUGAAGCCAGGAACCAGGAGCUUCCCCUGGAUCUCCCAUGCGGGUGCAGGGUCCAAGGACUUGGGCCAUCCUCCACAGAUUUCCCAGGCCACAGCAGAGAGCUGGAUUGGAAGAGGAACAGCCGGGUCUCGAACCGGCGCCCAUAUGGGAUGCCGGCACUUCAGGCCAGGGCAUUAACCCACUGUGCCACAGCACUGGCCCCAGGUUAAAAUCUGAUACGAUGUCUUAUUUUAAAAAUGUUGUCUUAAUUCACAGACUUUUAAAGGUUUAUUUCAGUAUAAAUAAAGAAAUCAGCAGAUAAAAAGGAGUCA